rnacentral:rRNA from 1 species
AGAGUUUGAUCCUGGCUCAGAACGUACGCUGGCGGCACGCCUAACACAUGCAAGUCGAACGAAGUAGCAAUACUUAGUGGCAGAUGGGUGAGUAACAUGUAGGAAUCUUCCCUAUGGCCUGGAAUAACACGAGGAAACUUGUGCUAAUACCGGAUAAGUCUUUACAGAGAAAGCUUUAUGCACCAUUGGAUGAGCCUGCACUUGAUUAGUUUGUUGGUGGGGUAAUGGCCUACCAAGACUUUGAUCAAUAGCUGAUUUGAGAGGAUGAUCAGCCACAUUGGGACUGAGACACGGCCCAAACUCCUACGGGAGGCAGCAGUGGGGAAUCUUGCACAAUGGAGGAAACUCUGAUGCAGCGAUGCCGCGUGAGUGAAGAAGGCCUUUGGGUUGUAAAGCUCUUUCGUCGGGGAAGAAAAUGACUGUACCCGAAUAAGAAGGUCCGGCUAACUUCGUGCCAGCAGCCGCGGUAAUACGAAGGGACCUAGCGUAGUUCGGAAUUACUGGGCUUAAAGAGUUCGUAGGUGGUUGAAAAAGUUGGUGGUGAAAUCCCAGAGCUUAACUCUGGAACUGCCAUCAAAACUUUUCAGCUAGAGUUUGAUAGAGGAAAGCAGAAUUUCUAGUGUAGAGGUGAAAUUCGUAGAUAUUAGAAAGAAUACCAAUUGCGAAGGCAGCUUUCUGGAUCAUUACUGACACUGAGGAACGAAAGCAUGGGUAGCGAAGAGGAUUAGAUACCCUCGUAGUCCAUGCCGUAAACGAUGUGUGUUAGACGUUGGAAAUUUAUUUUCAGUGUCGCAGCGAAAGCAAUAAACACACCGCCUGGGGAGUACGACCGCAAGGUUAAAACUCAAAUGAAUUGACGGGGACCCGCACAAGUAGUGGAGCAUGUGGUUUAAUUCGAAGAUACGCGCAGAACCUUACCAACACUUGACAUGUUCGUCGCGACUUUAAGAGAUUAAAGUUUUCGGUUCGGCCGGACGAAACACAGGUGCUGCAUGGCUGUCGUCAGCUCGUGUCGUGAGAUGUUGGGUUAAGUCCCGCAACGAGCGCAACCCUCACUUUUAGUUGCCAUCAUUUAGUUGGGCACUCUGAAAGAACUGCCAGUGAUAAGCUGGAGGAAGGUGGGGAUGACGUCAAGUCCUCAUGGCCCUUACGUGUUGGGCUACACACGUGCUACAAUGGUAUCUACAACAGGAAGCAAGACGGCGACGUUAAGCAAAUCCUCAAAAGAUACCUCAGUUCGGAUUGCACUCUGCAACUCGAGUGCAUGAAGCUGGAAUUACUAGUAAUCGUGGAUCAGCGUGCCACGGUGAAUGCGUUCCCGGGUCUUGUACACACCGCCCGUCACACCAUGGGAGUUGGUUCUACCUUAAGGCAAGGUUUAAAACCCUUGACCACGGUAUAGUCAGCGACUGGGGUGAAGUCGUAACAAGGUAACC